rnacentral:lncRNA from 1 species
GCGGACGGGAUCCCCGCUCCGGGCCUCGGAGUGUUUGUAAAGCAGCUGCGCUCCGCGCUUGCUGGAGCGGCCUCGCUCGGCAGUGCCGUGAGCGGGAGGGGGAGGCAAGCCCCAGUCCUGAAGCUGUUUGCCCGCCUCCCCGUGUGCUGCUGUGUGUGCCUGGCAGUGAGGAGAGCUGCUCGCUCUCUUUCUUCCUUGGGCUUCAGGAACACCUAAGAAAGGCAGGGAGCGGGGAGGGAGGUAUCCUCGCGUGUCAGCCCCAGGCACCUGCUGAGCGGGUGAGAUUCCCGGGCAGGUGACAUUACAGCGGAGUCGCAAGGCUUGCUUGAUCGACGGCAGAGGGCUCAGAUGUGGCCGUUGCAUGCAGUCAGGCACUGGGCUCUGAGGGCAGGUGCUCCACUGCCGGGACGACCAGCACGGGGUUACUGAUGGCAUCCACAGGUGUGCAGAUGGUGAGGUUGUGAGCAACCCUGAAUGGAAGCCUCAGCCAUCAAAAAUACAGAGCUAUUCUGAAGAAAGAAAAGCGGAAAAAAAAGCGUCAGGCACUUGCCAAACUAAGAGACUCAGAAGCUACAGAAAAAGAUGAAUCGGUGUCUGAGGAGGAAGAGGAGGAACUGGAAGAAGAGGAGGAAGAGGAAGAGGAAGAAAAAAAACUUGAGGCAGAAAGACAAAAACUACAUGAGCAGUGGUUGCUGAGAGAAGAAAAGGCCCAAGAAGAAUUCAAGCUUAAGAAAGAAAAAGAAGAGGCUGCAAGAAAACGUCAAGAAGAAGAAGAGGUGAUGUAUAAACUGAGUAAUAGAGUUGUGUCUGGCAGUAAGGUAGACUUAAGUGUAAUAUCUUCUACUGUUCUGUAGUGGGCCCAGUUUUCUUGAUGUUGGUAUGUUUGAAAGCAUAAGCUCUUCUUUCUUCCAUUCUAAAAGAGCAAAAUUAAAAAGGAAGAAAAAAAGACUUGUUAAAAGGGUUUUUGUCCAGAGAUUUAGUUGCUUAUGACUGGAUGAAAACUUAACGGUCAGGGAGUUGUAAUACAACAUGAUAGUUUUGCAUUUGACUGAUUAUAAAGCAUUUGUUUCCUUAAAUAAUUUUUAAAAUUUUUUUUAAUCAUAAAGAGGAAGAUCAAAGAAGAAUGGGAAGAGCAGCAAAGAAAAGAGAGAGAAGUGGCACAGCAGAAGCAACAGGAGAAGAGAGAGAGAGAGGUGAUUCCUGGCAGUGGGAGGAUAAACAUGUUACAUAUCCUCUUACAUUAUCGGAUGCAACAGUUGAAGAGGGAUUUUAUUCUAAUUAGCAAAUGUAUAAAUGUGUUAGUUACUACUUCUCUCCAUUCUGUCUAAAUUUGUGAAACUGUUAUUCGCUGUUAAAGAGGAUCUGGUGAGUCCAGAUACCUAGAAGGGUAACUAGUUUUAAUGCAUCUGGUUGUUCAUAGUAUGUAGUUUUUUACAUCAGUUAAAUACAAAGGCACCGCUGGGAGUGCAGGUUCUGAUAUGUGCACUUUUUGCAUCAUGCAUUAAAGAUAGUCCUUAUUUAAUGUCCCAGUUGAACACAGUCAGUGUUGAAGAAAAU